GUGGGGAAUAUUGGACAAUGGGCGAAAGCCUGAUCCAGCCAUGCCGCGUGUGUGAAGAAGGUCUUCGGAUUGUAAAGCACUUUAAGUUGGGAGGAAGGGCAGUAAGUUAAUACCUUGCUGUUUUGACGUUACCAACAGAAUAAGCACCGACUAACUUCGUGCCAGCAGCCGCGGUAAUACGAAGGGUGCAAGCGUUAAUCGGAAUUACUGGGCGUAAAGCGCGCGUAGGUGGUUCAGCAAGUUGAAGGUGAAAUCCCCGGGCUCAACCUGGGAACUGCCUCCAAAACUACUGAGCUAGAGUACGGUAGAGGGUAGUGGAAUUUCCUGUGUAGCGGUGAAAUGCGUAGAUAUAGGAAGGAACACCAGUGGCGAAGGCGACUACCUGGACUGAUACUGACACUGAGGUGCGAAAGCGUGGGGAGCAAACAGGAUUAGAAACCCCGGUAGUCC
rnacentral:rRNA from 1 species